rnacentral:rRNA from 1 species
GGGCAGCGGAUUGAAGCUUGCUUCAGUGCCGGCGACCGGCGCACGGGUGAGUAACGCGUAUCCACCUUCCGCAUACUCGAGGAUAGCCUUCUGAAAAGGAGAUUAAUACCCGAUGGUAUUGCAUUAAUAAAGAACUCGGUAUGCGAUGGGGAUGCGUUCCAUUAGGUAGUAGGCGGGGUAACGGCCCACCUAGCCUGCGAUGGAUAGGGGUUCUGAGAGGAAGGUCCCCCACAUUGGAACUGAGACACGGUCCAAACUUUACGGGAGGCAGCAGUGAGGAAUAUUGGUCAAUGGACGAGAGUCUGAACCAGCCAAGUAGCGUGAAGGAUGAAGGUUUAUGGAUUGUAAACUUCUUUUAUAAGGGAAUAAACCUCCCACGUGUGGGAGCUUGUAUGUACCUUAUGAAUAAGCAUCGGCUAACUCCGUGCCAGCAGCCGCGGUAAUACGGAGGAUGCGAGCGUUAUCCGGAUUUAUUGGGUUUAAAGGGAGCGCAGACGGGGGAUUAAGUCAGUUGUGAAAGUUUGGGGCUCAACCUUAAAAUUGCAGUUGAUACUGGUCCUCUUGAGUGCAGUUGAGGCAGGCGGAAUUCGUGGUGUAGCGGUGAAAUGCUUAGAUAUCACGAAGAACCCCGAUUGCGAAGGCAGCCUGCUAAACUGUAACUGACGUUCAUGCUC